UCAAACAUCAUCAUGCAUUUAAGUGAAC
rnacentral:piRNA from 1 species